CAAAUGAUACAGCAUACAGGAUUCAACACAAUUAUCGGCUGAUUUCCAUUGGACUCGCUAGAUCACCAUAACCCUAGUUUGGACCAAUGUUGGCUGUAGCAACAUCUUUUCCUACCAAAUUUACAUUGGCAGUAUUGUGAGAAAGCUGUGACAAAAGUAAUUUUCUCUGGACUCAUUCCAUCUAUUGGAGAACUUGAGAAUGGGAACUACUACAUCUACUGAGGAAACCUGAUCGGUGUCAACUCAUCAUGUGUAAUAGCCAAGAGGUGAACAUCGAAAGGGGGUUGGCAUCUCUACGACAUCAAUUUGGCGUUGACUUCUCUACGACAUCAAUUUGGCGGUGACUUCUCUACGACAUCAAUUUGGCGGUGACAUCCG